rnacentral:tRNA from 1 species
UAUUGGGUGGCUGAGAAAAUAUUAAGCAUUAAGCUUUUAACUUAACUAGGGUAUACAAAAUACCCCCAAUAA